UUAACGAACUUGAUUCGUUUGAUUAAUUAACAUAUUAAUUAAUCCUUGCCAUAAAUAAUUAAAUCAUUUAAUUAUUCUUACUCAUCUCCAUUGUUUCUUCAAUUUCUGCCUUACACGGUGUACGAUCCAUUAGGUUCCUUUUAGCGAGGCAGUGGGCGAUUAAAACCAUUUCAAAUCGAUUGUGAAUUGAAACUUACUUUCAAUUCUCCCUUUAGUGAUUAUACACGUUUAGGGCUUCCACAAACCAUGAGUGACACCUAGCAGCAUAUCAUGGUUACCCAAGCUAAUCAGAAGAGGUGGAAAACCUAUUCAGUUUAGGAUUACAAAUGCAAUACGGUCUUUCUCUAAUACAAUACUCUUGACCACAUUGUUUGGUUUGAUAGUUUAUUCAUGUCUACUAUCCAAUGUGAUUCGUGUGCUUAUAUGAUUACUUUGAAUGUGAUUUGGAACGACUUCCUAAAUCUCAUUCAUACUCUGGCCAGAGAUUCUUAAUCAUAUCAUAGAGUAUUCUCCCUCAAACGGUUUGAAGGUUAGAGAUCCCUUGUUGCGCAUUUAAUUGCCUCCAUGGUUAAGUGGCUUAACCCCAACUAUGCCGUGGACACCCUCCUUUUGGAGUGACUUUUGACAUAAUCAAAGAUCAAGGACUUAACCACAAGACAACUAUGAUGCCUCAGGUCAAAGGACUACUUUGCAUUAUCCUAACCAUGAGUUCUCAUGUGACAUGAAUAUGAGAACUCUUCGUUGGUCGUGUUCAGUGAACUCAUUCUCUAUUGAGCACCUACGUACUUGUCUUGAUGUCACACACACCAAUGACUCGAGACUAGUCACUCUCCCUGAGAGAAGACAGAGCACGUACUGAUCUUAACGGACUGUCAAUGCCCAAUUGGCAAUCCUAUGAUCAGGAACGUUUAGGAUGUGUCUACGAAAGAAGGGUCUCAUGAAUCUAACUUCUUUAGAUUGCAUUCUCCCAAUCACAUAUUCCUUGGACUUAUCGUUUAAGCAUAUAACAUUUAUAUGAGACGGCUUAAAACAAUAAUCUUUGCCCUUUAUAUUUAAACUACAUUAGUUUAACUUGUGAAAUGUCCGUAAAGCAUCAUCAUAUGAUUUGUUUUAGGGCACAUUUCCAACAACUUGGGCCGUGGCCUUGGUGUCGUGAGCCUUGGAUGGCACGGCUCGAGCCAUGGUGAAGGCACCAUAGACCUCGCCACAGGUGGCUACCGAGGUAGCCACCGUAAUGGUUCCCAUGGUGGAAACUCGUGGUGGUGGUGCUGCUCUACUUAUUGUCGCAUUUAGCCUCACGGAUCUCCGCAAUCCCAUUUCUUGAACAUUAGAAUUUUCACUUGUGGAAUUUUCUAAAUUUCUAGCCAUUAUAUUUUGCUUAUAUGUUUUUAUCAAAGAACCUUUGCAAGUAAAAAAUUCUAAUAAUAAGAAUGUAUGAAAAAUAUUCAAAUGGACUAGAAAAUAAAGAAAAAACCUUUUUGUGCGAGAAUCUUCUACGUGUAUGGAUUUCAACUCUCAAUGAAAGCACCAAUUUGUGGAUGCAAAUUUCUUCCUCCUUGAUCUUGGACAAUUUUGCACCUACAAAACAAUUAACACCUUAGGUUAAGGCCAAGAGCCUCACGCGCCCACGAUGAAUGGGGGGGCUUUGGCAGAAGAACCUCCGAUGCCAAUGUUAGAAUUUAGAGAGAAAGAGUGUUUAGAGAAUUUUGGGAUUUUUGCCAAAGUGUUGGAAUGAAUAUUUGGUGAAAAUAGGUUGGUUUAGGUUUUAUUUUGGUUUAAUUAGCCAAUUAAUUGGCUAAUAAAAAGGAAGAAAUGGUGAAAAAGGUAGAAAAAGUGAUGGAUUAGGUUUUGAAUGGGGAUAGCCGGCCAUGUGGUGUUUUAGGGUUGAAUUGGAUGUGUUUUGUGGUUAUUUGGAUAUAAUGGAUGGUUUAAUUGACAAUUAAUGGGUUAAUUAGGCAAUAAACCCAUUAAUUAGCCAAUUAACAUAAUUUAAAAGGAAUGUGUUUAGGAAUUACCUUGUAGAAAGGAUUUGAUGAGAUGGACUUUGAAUUGUUACCUAUUUUGGGCACUUCUGUCUUGGUUGAAAGAGGGUUUCCCGCUGCUUGCGCGUAGGAACCUCGUUGUACUGCAAGGGUAUUUUUGUCCUUUUUGUCCAAAAAUCCACGUGUCGCCUUGAGAAUAUUUUUGGCUCCACACUUAUCAUCGAAUAUUCGUGGCGAUUCUUAGUAUUGGAGAUUCUUUUCGAGGGUACGAUUCUUAAUCCACUCUACUGUACUUACUUAUGCUCUAACGUCUGAUAUUUAGGCACUCUUAGGUUUAAAUUUAUUCACAUUUUUUCCACAUCAUCACACUUUAUGGCUUCGUCACCUUCCAGGUGUGGGCCAGUGCAGCUAGAUUCGAAGUUCUAGUGGACAUUUCGGGUCAGGGUGUGUCAGUUUGUUAUCAGAGCCAGGUUGGGCAGUAUUGCGUUCAUCACUGAAGGAAAUUUUGUGAAAAACAUGUUCAUUUGAGCAACAUCUAUGGCAUGCAAUUAACAAUUAAAGGCGGAAUCAUGCUUGUAUGCACUCAAAAACAAAACAUUACCCAUGAAAUUCAAAGCCUAGUAGAAGGGUGAACCAAGACUCAACUCAAAACAAAGUGAGUUGAGAAAAUUUAUACCUUUGUUGAUUUUUCUUUGCAUAAGCAAAGGCUAAUCACCCAAGGAGAGGGCCUUCAUUCUUGCUUCUUAGCUCCAUGGAUUUCUUGGAUGAGGAUGGUUGAAAGGAUUCUCCAAGUUCCCAAAGUUGAGAACCUCUAAGUCUUCACACCAAGGUAGGACUUGAAGAAGAGAUGAGUGACCUAGAGGAAGUAAGAUUGCUAGCUAAAAUCCUCUAGGGUGGCCGGCCUCUUAGAGAGAAAAAUGGAGCUUGUGUUCUCAUCUUUUCUCUAAAAGAAACCCUAAGGAUGAAAUGGCUAUAAAGUUGCCUUUAUACCACCUCACAAUGGAGUGGCAAACUUGCAAUUAAGCCAAGUUCACUACCCCUCUCUAUAUGGCCGGUUUUCCCAAGGCUUUGGGUUGUUUUGGGCCUCUUGAAUUUUGUUUGUUAAGUUGUCAUACAACUUAAACUAAUGGGCUUGACGAUUCGAAGCCCAAUUUGGGCUUUAAGGCCCAAAACUAACUCAAGGUUUAAAACGAACUUAUUCGUUUGAUUAAUUAACAUAUUAAUUAAUUCUUGCCAUAAAAAAUUAAACCAUUUAAUUGUCCUUACUCAUCUCCGUUGUUUCUUCAAUCUCUACCUUACAUGGUGUACGAUCCAUUAGGUUCAUUUUAGCGAGGCAGUGGGCAAUUAGAACUCUUUCAAAUCGAUUGUGAAUUGAAACUUACUUUCAAUUCUCCCUUUAGUGAUUAUACAUGUUUAGGGCUUCACAAACCAUGAGUGACACCUAGCAGUAUGUCAUGGUUACCCAAGCUAAUCAGAAG
rnacentral:lncRNA from 1 species